AUUGAACGCUGGCGGCAGGCCUAACACAUGCAAGUCGAACGAAGCCUUCGGGCUUAGUGGCGGACGGGUGAGUAACACGUGGGAACGUACCUUUUGGUUCGGAACAACUCAGGGAAACUUGAGCUAAUACCGGAUGAGCCCUUAGGGGGAAAGAUUUAUCGCCGAAAGAGCGGCCCGCGUUAGAUUAGCUAGCUGGUAAGGUAAAGGCUCACCAAGGCUACGAUCUAUAGCUGGUCUGAGAGGAUGAUCAGCCACACUGGGACUGAGACACGGCCCAGACUCCUACGGGAGGCAGCAGUGGGGAAUCUUGCGCAAUGGGCGAAAGCCUGACGCAGCCAUGGCGCGUGAAUGAUGAAGGUCUUAGGAUUGUAAAAUUCUUUUACCAGGGACGAUAAUGACGGUACCUGGAGAAAAAGCCCCGGCUAACUUCGUGCCAGCAGCCGCAGUAACAC
rnacentral:rRNA from 1 species